rnacentral:lncRNA from 1 species
UUGUUUUGUGUUCAUUUUUAAAGAAAACAUUCACAGUUAACAGAACUACAUCCAUUUCAACAGAACUAUAUAUCACAAAGCUGUACAUGUUUAAGCUACAUUUAUCACAGAAUAUUCUUAUCAUAAACUACAUUUUUAAACCUAUGUCACAUAGUGCCAAUCAUAUUAUAAAACUAUAUAUUUUCUUUCGGAGUAGCUUUAGGGGCACCUAAAGCAUAUGCGCUAUAGAUCUCUAAAUUCGUAAAAAGAAAAUGCCUGACAGUAAAUCUGUUAUCCUAGAAAAGGUUGAUAUAACUGACACUAGUGUGGGUGUUGCAGACUUUGUAUCUAUACUUGAGUAGUACUCCCUCCAUCCCAAAUUAGAGAGAUUGAAAAAAAUGAGAGCCGUCCAUCC